rnacentral:rRNA from 1 species
GAUGAACGCUGGCGGCGUGCCUAAUACAUGCAAGUCGAGCGAACAGACGAGGAGCUUGCUCCUCUGACGUUAGCGGCGGACGGGUGAGUAACACGUGGAUAACCUACCUAUAAGACUGGGAUAACUUCGGGAAACCGGAGCUAAUACCGGAUAAUAUAUUGAACCGCAUGGUUCAAUAGUGAAAGACGGCUUUGCUGUCACUUAUAGAUGGAUCCGCGCCGCAUUAGCUAGUUGGUAAGGUAACGGCUUACCAAGGCAACGAUGCGUAGCCGACCUGAGAGGGUGAUCGGCCACACUGGAACGGAGACACGGUCCAGACUCCUACGGGAGGCAGCAGUAGGGAAUCUUCCGCAAUGGGCGAAAGCCUGACGGAGCAACGCCGCGUGAGUGAUGAAGGUCUUCGGAUCGUAAAACUCUGUUAUUAGGGAAGAACAAAUGUGUAAGUAACUAUGCACGUCUUGACGGUACCUAAUCAGAAAGCCACGGCUAACUACGUG